GAUAAACGCUGGCGGCGUGCCUAAUACAUGCAAGUCGAGCGAACGGACGAGAAGCUUGCUUCUCUGAUGUUAGCGGCGGACGGGUGAGUAACACGUGGAUAACCUACCUAUAAGACUGGGAUAACUUCGGGAAACCGGAGCUAAUACCGGAUAAUAUUUUGAACCGCAUGGUUCAAAAGUGAAAGACGGUCUUGCUGUCACUUAUAGAUGGAUCCGCGCUGCAUUAGCUAGUUGGUAAGGUAACGGCUUACCAAGGCAACGAUGCAUAGCCGACCUGAGAGGGUGAUCGGCCACACUGGAACUGAGACACGGUCCAGACUCCUACGGGAGGCAGCAGUAGGGAAUCUUCCGCAAUGGGCGAAAGCCUGACGGAGCAACGCCGCGUGAGUGAUGAAGGUCUUCGGAUCGUAAAACUCUGUUAUUAGGGAAGAACAUAUGUGUAAGUAACUGUGCACAUCUUGACGGUACCUAAUCAGAAAGCCACGGCUAACUACGUGCCAGCAGCCGCGGUAAUACGUAGGUGGCAAGCGUUAUCCGGAAUUAUUGGGCGUAAAGCGCGCGUAGGCGGUUUUUUAAGUCUGAUGUGAAAGCCCACGGCUCAACCGUGGAGGGUCAUUGGAAACUGGAAAACUUGAGUGCAGAAGAGGAAAGUGGAAUUCCAUGUGUAGCGGUGAAAUGCGCAGAGAUAUGGAGGAACACCAGUGGCGAAGGCGACUUUCUGGUCUGUAACUGACGCUGAUGUGCGAAAGCGUGGGGAUCAAACAGGAUUAGAUACCCUGGUAGUCCACGCCGUAAACGAUGAGUGCUAAGUGUUAGGGGGUUUCCGCCCCUUAGCGCUGCAGCUAACGCAUUAAGCACUCCGCCUGGGGAGUACGACCGCAAGGUUGAAACUCAAAGGAAUUGACGGGGACCCGCACAAGCGGUGGAGCAUGUGGUUUAAUUCGAAGCAACGCGAAGAACCUUACCAAAUCUUGACAUCCUUUGACAACUCUAGAGAUAGAGCCUUCCCCUUCGGGGGACAAAGUGACAGGUGGUGCAUGGUUGUCGUCAGCUCGUGUCGUGAGAUGUUGGGUUAAGUCCCGCAACGAGCGCAACCCUUAAGCUUAGUUGCCAUCAUUAAGUUGGGCACUCUAAGUUGACUGCCGGUGACAAACCGGAGGAAGGUGGGGAUGACGUCAAAUCAUCAUGCCCUUUAUGAUUUGGGCUACACACGUGCUACAAUGGACAAUACAAAGGGCAGCGAAACCGCGAGGUCAAGCAAAUCCCAUAAAGUUGUUCUCAGUUCGGAUUGUAGUCUGCAACUCGACUACAUGAAGCUGGAAUCGCUAGUAAUCGUAGAUCAGCAUGCUACGGUGAAUACGUUCCCGGGUCU
rnacentral:rRNA from 1 species